CAGCCGCCGCGGGAAUACGGAGGGUGCAAGCGUUAAUCGGAAUUACUGGGCGUAAAGCGCACGCAGGCGGUCUGACAAGUCAGAUGUGAAAUUCCCGGGCUUAACCUGGGAACUGCAUUUGAAACUGUCAGGCUGGAGUCUUGUAGAGGGGGGUGGAAUUCCAGGUGUAGCGGUGAAAUGCGUAGAGAUCUGGAGGAAUACCGGUGGCGAAGGCGGCCCCCUGGACAAAGACUGACGCUCAGGUGCGAAAGCGUGGGGAGCAAACAGGAUUAGAUACCCGUGUAGUCCCUGUCUCUUAUAA
rnacentral:rRNA from 1 species